GUACGGGAGGCAGCAGUGGGGAAUAUUGCGCAAUGGGCGGAAGCCUGACGCAGCGACGCCGCGUGGGGGAUGACGGCCCUCGGGUUGUAAACCCCUUUCAGCGCCGACGAAGCGCAAGUGACGGUAGGCGCAGAAGAAGCACCGGCCAACUACGUGCCAGCAGCCGCGGUAAUACGUAGGGUGCGAGCGUUGUCCGGAGUUAUUGGGCGUAAAGAGCUCGUAGGCGGCCUGUCACGUCGGCUGUGAAAACCCGCGGCUCAACCGCGGGCCGGCAGUCGAUACGGGCAGGCUCGAGUCCGGCAGGGGAGUCUGGAAUUCCUGGUGUAGCGGUGAAAUGCGCAGAUAUCAGGAGGAACACCGGUGGCGAAGGCGGGACUCUGGGCCGGCACUGACGCUGAGGAGCGAAAGCGUGGGGAGCGAACAGGAUUAGAUACCCUGGUAGA
rnacentral:rRNA from 1 species